UGAAGGAUACUCCCUCCCCACCACAACCUCUUCUGCAUUUUCUCCCCCUAAUCCUUCCAACCAAACAGAAGAUUCAUUGAUUCAAUUCUCUGCUUUCCUUCACAUAUUCUUGAUUCUUCUACUUUUCCUGCUUGAUAUAUAAACAUAAUGACAAGUUUCCUCCUGCAAGACAUGGUAGACUAAUACAUGCUACCAAGCUUAACUGGUAAAUUGUUUGCUAUUUGUAAAAACAUUUGGGAUCAUAUUCAGAGUGCAAUAGGGAGUAUGUUUU
rnacentral:misc_RNA from 1 species